rnacentral:rRNA from 1 species
UACGGUAGGGGCAAGCGUUGUCCGGAUUUAUUGGGCGUAAAGAGCGUGUAGGCGGUUUGGUAGGUCCGUUGUGAAAACUCGAGGCUCAACCUCGAGACGCCGAUGGAAACCAUCAGACUAGAGUCCGGAAGAGGAGAGUGGAAUUCCUGGUGUAGCGGUGAAAUGCGCAGAUAUCAGGAAGAACACCCGUGGCUAAGGCGGCUCUCUAGUACGGUACUGACGCUGAGACGCGAAAGCGUGGGGAGCGAACAGG